CAAAGGCUCCUCUUGCUAUCUGCCUCUGGUUAUGCUCAAGAAGGAACCUACGGCAUUACCCAUCCUGAGCUGAGAAGAGCGUCCCUGAAGGCAUUUCAUGGACUGUUUGAUACGGCUUAAUCUUCUAGAACCAGAGGCGCCAAAAGGCCCACCAACUUGCUUGGAAGCCUCUCCUCUACUCCAACAGCCAUCAUUUUUGCUCAGGAGCAUGGAAUCCCAUCUGAGGCUCCUACAGGAACACCACCAACCUCUACACGGCCUGCAGAGCCAGCCUGGCCUCAAGAGCAGGACACACCAGAAAACACCUGUUGAAUGGAUGCACCAGUGAACAGAGAUGGCCACCUCGCCAGAGCCACAAUCCAUGGGGACUGGAGACCAAAUGACGCUAAUGACUGCAGGGAAAUGAACAACUGAGAGGGGCUCCCUUUUAUCACUGGAGGGAAGCUGCUUGGUUCUAGUGAAUGGGAAGGAAUUGUAGGCAAAAACUCAGGGAGGAGACAGACAAGGAGAGCUUGGAAGGGGAACCUUACUAAUUAAGACAGAGAAAACAAAAUUUUGCUAAGCAUCAUUUCUGACUUACAACACAAAGUCAUUUUUCCUUUCUUCCUUGUCCCUCCUCCUUUGCUCUCCCUAUUCCUUCCCUCCUUCUACCCAGAGACUUCCACGUAAACAGGACACAAAAGCAUGACAGAGACCACAGGUGCACACAGAACCUGUGGCCCCCUCUGCAGCUCCGCCUGGAAGUGCCUCCUCUUCCCACGCCUCCUCCCACUCAUCGCCUGCCUUGCCCACAACCACCCUUCCUUCAGAUGUCGCAUGGAGUGUCUGCUUACUGGGGAAGGUCCCCACAUACCUCCCCCUACUCCAGGCUUGACAAAAAAAGCUCCUCUGUGUUCUCAUGUGAUCGUGUCUAUUAUAGCUGUUAUCACUACAUAUUUAAUGUAGCAGCUAAUGAGUCUCUCCCCCA
rnacentral:lncRNA from 10 species